GGGGGUGUUAUACUUGGGUGAGAGUGGUC
rnacentral:misc_RNA from 1 species